CCGCGUCGAUUUUAAUUCUCAACGGCUGCGCCAGGCAAGUCAACGCUUGUUGCUGCUGGUGAGCUGCCUGCACCUUGGUGUCUGUGUAUUCGUCUCGACUUUGUGGCAUCACACGUCAACUACACUGAACGCGGGUGUCAUAGACUGCCAGGGAAUUUUCAUGAAAACAGCCAGGGAAAGCUUGGAAAAACAUCAGGGAAAUUGAAAAUGACAACAUAGCAUGCACCUGCAGCACCUUCGGA